UGGCGGACGGGUGAGUAACACGUGAGUAACCUGCCUCUGAGAGUGGAAUAGCUUCUGGAAACGGAUGGUAAUACCACAUAACAUGAUGAAUUCGCAUGGAUUUAUCAUCAAAGAUUUAUUGCUCAGAGAUGGACUCGCGUCUGAUUAGAUAGUUGGUGAGGUAACGGCUCACCAAGUCGACGAUCAGUAGCCGGACUGAGAGGUUGAACGGCCACAUUGGGACUGAGACACGGCCCAGACUCCUACGGGAGGCAGCAGUGGGGAAUAUUGCACAAUGGGGGAAACCCUGAUGCAGCGAUGCCGCGUGGAGGAAGAAGGUUUUCGGAUUGUAAACUCCUGUCUAAGAGGACGAUAAUGACGGUACUCUUAAAGAAAGCUCCGGCUAACUACGUGCCAGCAGCCGCGGUAAUACGUAGGGAGCGAGCGUUGUCCGGAAUUACUGGGUGUA
rnacentral:rRNA from 1 species